rnacentral:tRNA from 1 species
CGUCGCCGAGGCGUCGGCCGCGGACGCUCGGGCCGCCGGGGCCGGCCCGGGCCCGGUCUGGCUCGCCGUCGCUCGUUCGUACCGGUCGUGGGCGC